GUUAAUCUCAAUCGUGUCUGUUGCUGGAGAGGAGGAAAAGAGAGUUGUUCUUCUGCUCUCCCCACCCCUCCUCCAUAUCUGUCCCUUCUACCCUGGAAGGAUGGAGGGGGAGGAGGAAAGGUCUAGUGAGCCUCUUAAGGAGAGCUGGGUGCACCUCAGACCUCCAGAGUGGAUGCCUGUUGACCACAGCUUAAGGAUCCUGGGACAGACAUUCUGCAGCCUCCUCAGUCCAUCAGGUGCUAAAAGAAACAGCGCGGUGGUAAGGAGAGCAGACACUUGCUGACUUCCAGCUGUGGAGGGGACACCUCUGAUUGCUUUCAUUCUAACAGCUCGGAGAGGCUGGGGUUACUGUCUCACUCAUCCUACAUCUCAGGAAACCAAGGCAUGGGGCUGACAUCCACGCCAAGGUCAGGAUGCCACCCAGGUUCAGGCCGCCAGGGCUCGCUCAAAGGGCUUACCCACCACACACACUGCAGCUCACUCACAGCAACACGGGAAGCCAGAGAAGAAGCAGCCGAACUGUAAUUAGAGGCCAGAGGAGGAGACGCAGAGACCAUCUCAGGAUUUAUGCCUGAGUGGUGGUGAUGUGGCGAGAGUCCUCUGUGUAAUGAAGAUGUCACCUUCUAAUGAGUUUGGAAGAAAGGAGAGUGUGUUAGCCGGAGGUCUAUUUUUGGAUCUUUAUCUUCUGAUAUUAUGAAGAAGAAGAUGAAACCUCCUGACUGUUUUUUCUGUCUAUGGGAUCUCUGAUUGGAAUUAUUCUUUCAAGGAUGCACUCCCCAGACUCGGGCUGAGGGGAGUUUGUUCAGUUUUUCAUUAAAAACGGCUCCCACACCUAACAGGUUCUUCAUCUUUUUCACCUUCAUAGCUAGGAACUCUCCCACAGGGGGGUCUGGAGUUCUUGAAAUAUUUUUAGGUUGCCAGGUUUCUUGUGUGGGCUCUCCAGAAAGCCAAUUUUAUUUCUGAGUCCUCACAGCCGUCCAGUUCUGUCUUCCACUCCCUCACUGAAUGGCCACACAAUGCUGCCUACUUACUGGUUUUUGUGGGGGCCCAGAGAUAUUGGUCUAUAGGGUAUUGAAUAUGCUAUUAACCUCCUCAGAUGGGAGGGGAGUCUCUUCUCCAUGUCAAUCUCCAGGCCUUGUAAUAGGGUUCCUCUGUAAUUCUUUGCAGCCUGAUGCAAGAUGGGAUCAAAUGUCAUAAUUCAAUGCACUUUGAGCAUCUCAAAAGGGGACAGAGAAGAGGGCUGUCUGUUUGUGGUGGUGCCCAUCUUUAAGGAGAGCUCCCUAAAAGCCAAAGACUCCUAUUGUGUGACUUCUUCAUGCCUGCAGGGAGAAGCCAAUCUCCUCAGGACUAGGUAAGAGACUGCUGUUAGUCCUGUGAAGCACAGUCAAGUCAAAGUUGAGAGCUGUCGCCGGAAUUUUUAGCUGGGUACUUCCUAAUUGUGUAUUCUUUUAAAAAAAUUAAAGUUUUUUUCCAUUUUA